GCCCCAAUCGUCUAAAUAGGUAGGAUAACCGGCUUCUAGCCGGAGAUGCGGUUCAAGUCCGUAAGGGGCGCCA
rnacentral:tRNA from 1 species